GACGAACGCUGGCGGCGCGCUUAACACAUGCAAGUCGAACGGAAAGGCCUGCUUUCCCUUGUGGAUUGCGGGUACUCGAGUGGCGAACGGGUGAGUAACACGUGAGUGAUCUGCCCCCAACUUGGGUAUAAGCCUGGGAAACUGGGUCUAAUUCCCGAUAGGACUGCAGGGUGGUGCCUGUGGUGGAAAACGAUUUUCUAGUGGUUGGGGAUGAGCUCGCGGCCUAUCAGCUUGUUGGUGGGGUAAUGGCCUACCAAGGCGGCGACGGGUAGCCGGCCUGAGAGGGGGGACGGGCACAUUGGGACUGAGAUGCGGCCCAGACUCAUACGGGAGGCAGCAGUGGGGAAUAUUGCACAAUGGGCGGAAGCCUGAUGCAGCGACGCCGCGUGGGGGAUGACGGCCUUCGGGUUGUAAACUCCUUUCGACCGCGAGGAAGCCACCUGGUUGGAAGGGUGGUGACGGUAGUGGUAGAAGAAGCACCGGCUAACUACGUG
rnacentral:rRNA from 1 species